rnacentral:rRNA from 1 species
AGAGCGAACGCUGGCGGCAGGCUUAACACAUGCAAGUCGAACGAGAAGCCGGGCUUCGGCCCGGUGGACAGUGGCGCACGGGUGAGUAACGCGUGGGAACCUGCCCAUGAGUGGGGAAAAACGGUUGGAAACGACCGCCAAUUCCGCAUACGCCCUACGGGGGAAAGGCUUCGGCCGCUCAUGGAUGGGCCCGCGUCCGAUUAGCUUGUUGGUGAGGUAAUGGCUCACCAAGGCGACGAUCGGUAGCUGGUCUGAGAGGACGAUCAGCCACAUUGGGACUGAGACACGGCCCAGACUCCUACGGGAGGCAGCAGUGGGGAAUAUUGGACAAUGGGCGAAAGCCUGAUCCAGCCAUGCCGCGUGAGUGAUUUGAAGGCCCUAGGGUUGUAAAGCUCUUUCGGCGGGGAAGAUGAUGACGGUACCCGCAGAAGAAGCCCCGGCUAACUCCGUGCCAGCAGCCGCGGUAAUACGGAGGGGGCUAGCGUUGCUCGGAAUCACUGGGCGUAAAGCGAGCGUAGGCGGCCGCGCAAGUCGGGGGUGAAAGCCCGGGGCUCAACCCCGGAACUGCCCUCGAAACUGCGUGGCUAGAGGCCGGGAAGAGGAGAGUGGAAUUCCCAGUGG